rnacentral:SRP_RNA from 1 species
GCUGGGCAUGGUGGCCCAUGUUUGUAAUCCAAGCUACCUCAGAGGCUGAGAUUGGUAGAUCUCUUGAGCUUGGGAGCUCUGAGCUGCUGUGGGCUAAGUCACUUAAGCGUCUGAACCAAGUCUGGCAUUAAUAUGGCAAGCUCCCAGGAGCAUAGGGCUACCAAGUUGCUUAAGAAGAAAUGCCCAGGUCCGGGUCAGAAAUUAAGCAUCCCAAAGCUCCCAUGUCAAUCAGUAGUGGCACUAGGUCCAUGAGUAGCCCUAGCAUUUCAAACCAGGCUGAGAUAGGGAAACAAAUAACA